CACGCUGUAAACGUUGUGUGCCAGAUGUGGGCAGGUUCGGCCCUGUCCGUGUCCAAGCUAACGCGAUUAGCACACCGCCUGGGGACUACGGCCGCAAGGCUAAAACUCAAAGGAAUUGACGGGGGCCCGCACAAGCGGUGGAGCAUGUUGCUUAAUUCGAUGCAACGCGAAGAACCUUACCCAGGUUUGACAUGCAAGUGACCGCAGCUGAAAGGCUGUUUUCCUUCGGGACACUUGCACAGAUGC
rnacentral:rRNA from 1 species